GUAGGUGGCAAGCGUUGUCCGGAAUUAUUGGGCGUAAAGCGCGCGCAGGUGGGUUCUUUAAGUCUGAUGUGAAAGCCCCCGGGCUCAACCGGGGAGGGUCAUUGGAAACUGGGGAACUUGAGUGCAGGAGAGGAAAGUGGAAUUCCACGUGUAGCGGUGAAAUGCGUAGAUAUGUGGAGGAACACCAGUGGCGAAGGCGACUUUCUGGCCUGUAACUGACACUGAGGCGCGAAAGCGUGGGGAGCAAACAGGAUUAGAUACCCUGUAGUCCACGCCGUAAACGAUGAGUGCUAAGUGUUGGGGGGUUUCCGCCCCUCAGUGCUGCAGCUAACGCAUUAAGCACUCCGCCUGGGGAGUACGGUCGCAAAGACUG
rnacentral:rRNA from 1 species